rnacentral:rRNA from 1 species
GACAUUACCGAAUCGUCAAACACGGGUUGUUGCUGGCCUCCCAAACGGGGCAUGUGCACGCUCUGUUUACGCAUCCACUCACACCUGUGCACCCUCUGUAGUCCUAUGGUUCGGAAGACCCUGUCUUCCUUCUGUAGCUCUACGUCUUUACACACACACUGUAGUGAUGUCUCAUGGAAUGUUUUUAUGCGUUUAACGCGAUACAAUACAACUUUCAGCAACGGAUCUCUUGGCUCUCGCAUCGAUGAAGAACGCAGCGAAAUGCGAUAAGUAAUGUGAAUUGCAGAAUUCAGUGAAUCAUCGAAUCUUUGAACGCACCUUGCGCCCCUUGGUUAUUCCUUGGAGCAUGCCUGUUUGAGUAUCAUGAACACCUCAACUCUCACGGUCUUCCGUGAUGAGCUUGGACUUUGGGGGUUUGCUGGCCCUGCGGCCGGCUCCUCUCAAAUGAAUCAGCUUGCCAGUGUUUGGUGGCAUCACGGGUGUGAUAACUAUCUACGCUCGCGGUCGUCUGCCAGGUAACCCUCAGCAAUGAAGGUUCAUUGGAGCUCAUAAACGUCUCUCCUCGGCGAGGACAACUUUUGAACGUUCGAUCUCAAAUCAGGUAGGAUUACCCGCUGAACUUAAGCA